UACGGAGGUGGCAAGCGUUGCUCGGAAUCACUGGGCGUAAAGGGCGCGUAGGCGGGGAGGUAAGUCGGGUGUGAAAUCCCUCGGCCCAACCGAGGAACUGCGUCCGAUACUGGUGGGUUUGAGGACUGGAGAGGAGACUGGAAUUCCUGGUGUAGCGGUGAAAUGCGCAGAUAUCAGGAGGAACACCGGUGGCGAAGGCGGGUCUCUGGGCCGAUACUGACGCUGAGGAGCGAAAGCGUGGGGAGCGAACAGG
rnacentral:rRNA from 1 species